rnacentral:rRNA from 1 species
ACGCACGCUGGCGGCGUGCCUAAUACAUGCAAGUUGAGCGCUGAAGGUUGGUACUUGUACCCACUGGAUGAGCAGCGAACGGGUGAGUAACGCGUGGGGAAUCUGCCUUUGAGCGGGGGACAACAUUUGGAAACGAAUGCUAAUACCGCAUAAAAACUUUAAACACAAGUUUUAAGUUUGAAAGAUGCAAUUGCAUCACUCAAAGAUGAUCCCGCGUUGUAUUAGCUAGUUGGUGAGGUAAAGGCUCACCAAGGCGAUGAUACAUAGCCGACCUGAGAGGGUGAUCGGCCACAUUGGGACUGAGACACGGCCCAAACUCCUACGGGAGGCAGCAGUAGGGAAUCUUCGGCAAUGGACGAAAGUCUGACCGAGCAACGCCGCGUGAGUGAAGAAGGGUUUCGGAUCGUAAAACUCUGUUGGUAGAGAAGAACGUUGGUGAGAGUGGAAAGCUCAUCAAGUGACGGUAACUACCCAGAAAGGGACGGCUAACUACGUG